rnacentral:rRNA from 1 species
GUCCGCACGAGCGCAACCCCUACUUGUUAGUUGUCCAUCAUUCAGUUGGGCACUUUAGCGAGACUGCCUGUAAUAAACCGGAGGAAGGUGGGGAUGACGUCAAAUCAUCAUGCCCCUUAUGACCUGGGCUACACACGUGCUACAAUGGUUGGUACGACGAGUUGCGAGUCGGUGACGGCGAGCUAAUCUCUUAAAGCCAAUCUCAGUUCGGAUUGUAGGCUGCAACUCGCCUACAUGAAGUCGGAAUCGCUAGUAAUCGCGGAUCAGCACGCCGCGGUCGAAUACGUUCCCGGGCCUU